GGGAUCGUCUCGGAGACAUUGGUAAGGCCAGCCACCAGGGUUUCACCGACGGUUCAGGAUUCAAGGGGUUCAAACUACCGGCCAGCUACAACGCAUCGGCGAAUGUCAAGUGCCAGAGGUGUAGUAGGUGGCGCUUUGACCACAUCGGACGCAAGUGCGAGUGCGCGGAGCCGCAAUGGCCGAAUGUACGGGCGCAGCAGGGGCGAACCAUGCAGGAAUGGCACCACCAGUGGGCGGCCGAGUGCCUGCGCGUGCUGAAACCGGGCGGGCACCUGCUCGCGUUCGGCGGUUCGCGCACCUGGCACCGGCUAGCGGCGGCGAUCGAGGACGCCGGGUUCGAGAUCCGCGACUCCA
rnacentral:tmRNA from 1 species